rnacentral:lncRNA from 1 species
AUGUUAAUUUGGAUGUAAGAAAUAUAGAUUCUGAGAGACCUUAACAACAUUAUCAUUUUAAUAUUUAAACAACCAAUAUUAAAGAUGUAAAUAUAUAAUGAGUUAAAAUUGUAAUUUAUCCGAUGUAUCUCCAUUUCUCUUUUCUCCCUCUUGCCAAGUCAGUCCAUGCAACACUAUCUUGAAACCAAAUCCUGUAUUUUACAAAAUGUGGAUUACUUAAUUUGCAAGCUCCUACAAAUCAUAAGAAUUUGUUAAGUAAGCUAUGCCAGCUCCUAUGUAUAAUGAUACAUACCAGACCUACACCAUUCAUUCUCACA